UCCUGCUUAGACGGUAAAGCAUCUGCCUACAAUGCGGGAGACCCGGGUUCAAUCCCUGGGUCGGGAA
rnacentral:tRNA from 1 species